AGUUCUUGUGAAGAUCUAGCC
rnacentral:siRNA from 1 species